AGUGAACGCUGGCGGUAGGCCUAACACAUGCAAGUCGAACGGCAGCACAGUAAGAGCUUGCUCUUACGGGUGGCGAGUGGCGGACGGGUGAGGAAUACAUCGGAAUCUACUUUUUCGUGGGGGAUAACGUAGGGAAACUUACGCUAAUACCGCAUACGACCUACGGGUGAAAGCAGGGGAUCUUCGGACCUUGCGCGAUUGAAUGAGCCGAUGUCGGAUUAGCUAGUUGGCGGGGUAAAGGCCACCAAGGCGACGAUCCGUAGCUGGUCUGAGAGGAUGAUCAGCCAAACUGGAACUGAGACACGGUCCAGACUCCUACGGGAGGCAGCAGUGGGGAAUAUUGGACAAUGGGCGCAAGCCUGAUCCAGCCAUACCGCGUGGGUGAAGAAGGCCUUCGGGUUGUAAAGCCCUUUUGUUGGGAAAGAAAAGCAGCAGGUUAAUACCCCGCUGUUCUGACGGUACCCAAAGAAUAAGCACCGGCUAACUUC
rnacentral:rRNA from 1 species